UACGAAGGGUGCUAGCGUUGUUCGGAAUUACUGGGCGUAAAGCGCGCGUAGGCGGCUAUCCAAGUCAGAGGUGAAAUCCCUGGGCUCAACCCAGGAAUUGCCUUUGAAACUGUUUAGCUUGAGUGUCGGAGGGGAUAGCGGAAUUCCUAAUGUAGAGGUGAAAUUCGUAGAUAUUAGGAGGAACACCGGUGGCGAAGGCGGCUAUCUGGACGACAACUGACGCUAAGGCGCGAAAGUACGGGGAUCAAACAGG
rnacentral:rRNA from 1 species